AACGCACAUUGCGCCCCUUGGUAUUCCAAAGGGCAUGCCCGUUCGAGCGUCAUUACAGCCCUCGAGCCACAAAUGGCUUGGUACUGGGUCCUGCUGCGUAGUCAGCUGGCCUUGAAAUCAGUGGCGGUGCCGUGUGGCUCUGAGCGUAGUAACUCUCCUCGCUAUUGAGCCCCCCACAAAAACACCUGCCAACAGCCUCUAAUUUUCUAUGGUUGACCUCGGAUCGGGUAGGGCAUACCCGCUGAACUUAA
rnacentral:misc_RNA from 1 species